rnacentral:rRNA from 1 species
GAUGAACGCUGGCGGCGUGCCUAAUACAUGCAAGUCGAGCGAACGGACGAGAAGCUUGCUUCUCUGAUGUUAGCGGCGGACGGGUGAGUAACACGUGGAUAACCUACCUAUAAGACUGGGAUAACUUCGGGAAACCGGAGCUAAUACCGGAUAAUAUUUUGAACCGCAUGGUUCAAAAGUGAAAGACGGUCUUGCUGUCACUUAUAGAUGGAUCCGCGCUGCAUUAGCUAGUUGGUAAGGUAACGGCUUACCAAGGCAACGAUGCAUAGCCGACCUGAGAGGCUGAUCGGCCACACGGGAACUGGAACACGGUCCAGACUCCUACGGGAGGCAACAGUAGGGAAUCUUCCGCAAUGGGCGAAAGCCUGACGGAGCAACGCCGAGUGAGAGAUGAAGGUCUUCGGAUCGUAAAACUCUGUUAUUAGGGAAGAACAUAUGUGUAAGUAACUGUGCACAUCUUGACGGUACCUAAUCAGAAAGCAACGGCUAACUACGUG